AUGAUUGGGAGGGAGAUGGAGAUGGCGACAGAGGUGGAGAUGUCGCCGGCUGCCAAGGAAGCCGCCGCCGCUGCCAUGUUUAGCCCUUACUCGAGCCCUAGCACGGCCUUCCUGCUGCAGAGGAGAGUUCUUUCCUGGGCGAAAGAGACCGGGUCGCCGGCGACGGUGCGCGUUCGCGUCGCCGACAGGAGCUUCAUUCUGCACAGGGAUCCUCUGUCGUCAAGAAGCAGGUAUUUCAGCCAGGCGAUGGAGGAGGUGUCCGGAGACGUCGAGCUGCCGGACAGCUUCCCCGGAGGCUCCGACGCCUUCGAGGUGAUCGGGCUCUUCUGCUACGGCGACGCCGUGGCGCUGGACCCGUUCAACGUGGCGGCGGUGCGCUGCGCGGCGGAGUUCCUGGACGUGGGUGGCCUAGGCGCGCGCUGCGACCUCUACAUCAACCAGGUGGUGCUGCAGAGCUGGGACGACGCGCUCAUCGUCCUGCAGCGCUGCCAGCCCCUCCUCCCCGUCGCCGAGGAGCUCCUCAUCGUCAGCCGCUGCGUCGAGUCGCUGGCCUUCAUGGCGUGCAUGGAGAUCCUCGACCCGGAGCAGCGGCGGGACCAGCCCGGCGUCGACGACGCCGGCGCGCGCGGCCUGGUCGGCCGCCGCUGGGACGCCGAGGUCGUCAAGGAGCUCGCCGCGCGCGACCUCUGGAUCAAGGACCUCAUCGCCCUUCCCUUCGAGUUCUUCAAGCGGAUCGUGCAGGCGCUGCGGCGGCAAGGGAUGAAGGAGAAGUACGUGAGCCCCGUGGUGCUCUUCUACGCCAACAAGUGGGUGCUCUCCAAGAAGACCCACAAGUUCUGGGCGAGCACCGACGAGGCCGGCGACGGCGAGAUCGACGCCAACAGGAGGGCCACGGAGAUACUGCAGGGCGUGGUCGAGCUGCUCCCGGUGGAGGCGAGCGGCGCCGUCCCGGUGGCCUUCUACUUCGCGCUGCUGUCGCGGUCGCUCGCCCUCGAGCUGAAGGAGGAGAGCCGGACGAGGCUGCGGGACCAGGUAGCGUCCCAACUGCAGUUCGCCAGCGCGGAUGACCUGCCGCUGCCGGAGCAAGACGCCGACCGGUCCGUCGCCGAUAGCCCGGAGGUGGUGACAAUGGAGAGCAUCGUCUCAAACCACGUCGCCAUGCAAAGACAAGGGGCCGAGGCCGUGGCGGGGUUGUGGGAUCGGUACCUCGUGCAUAUCGUCGCUGAUCCGAAGCUCCGGCCGGAGAGACUGGCAGAACUGAUCGGCGUCGUUCCGGCCGGCAACCGGAAGACCCACGAUCAUCUAUACGAGGCAAUCAACACUUACUUAGUGGAGCAUCCCAGCCUGUCCGGCGAGGAGAAGGCGGCGCUUUGCGGGCACCUCGAGUGCCGGAAGCUGUCGCACGAGGCGUGCAUCCAGGCGGUGCAGAACGAGCGGAUGCCGCUCCGGUUCAUCGUGCAGGCGCUGUUCGUGCAGCAGAUGCACACGCACCGCGCCUUCGCCGAGCGCUCCGACUCGUUCCGGUACAUGCUCUCCGGCGAGCUGAUCCCAGGCGUCGCCGGCGCGUACACGCCGAGCCCGGGGUGCCCCGUCCCCACGAGCCAGCCGCUGAGCACCACCAGCCCGUACACGGACGCCCACACCAGCGCCGCGCUCGACGGGAAGCUCCGUGCCCGCGGCGAGGACGACGCGACGUCGGACUACGAGACGGCGAGCUUCAGGAUCCAGGCGCUGGAGCAGGAGAUCAUCUCGCUGAAGAAGACCCUGCAGCGGCACAACACCCUGAAAGGAGGCUCGGUUCGCAAGGACAGCAAGGAACCGAGCUUCAGGGCGGACGCGGCGGCGCCGGUGGCGAUCAGGCGGCGAGCGCCCGUGUCCGGCAGCUGCAUCGGGUCCAUGCGCUGGGGCUCGCAGCGGCGGUGCGCCAGCAGGAUCCUGCGCGUCUUUACGAGACUGGCCGUGUUCGGGCGGAGCAGGUCCCGAGGGAAGCAGAGCAAGUGCAGGGCAGCACCAGAGCAGCUCAGUUGCUUGUAG
rnacentral:rRNA from 1 species